UACGAAGGGGGCUAGCGUUGCUCGGAAUCACUGGGCGUAAAGGGCGCGUAGGCGGCGCGGAUAGUCGGCGGUGAAAGCCCGGAGCUCAACUCCGGGUCGGCCGUCGAUACUUCCGGGCUUGAGCACUGUAGAGGCAGAUGGAAUUCCGGGUGUAGCGGUGGAAUGCGUAGAGAUCCGGAAGAACACCGGUGGCGAAGGCGGUCUGCUGGGCAGUUGCUGACGCUGAUGCGCGACAGCGUGGGGAGCAAACAGG
rnacentral:rRNA from 1 species